CUUUGGCAAAGAGUGAUGGUAACAUAUUUUUUUAUUCCAGCAAGAGCCAAUGAAGUUGCUUUCUUGAAACAAUUAUAAGAGGACCUACUUCAGAGCACCAUAUGUGGUCACAUUAGUGCACAUUUAUCGAACAAGAAUUUCAACAAAAUCAGAAACAUUCAUUUUUGUUUAAUUUGGAAAUAUCAAAAAAAAAAGAUAAAUAUAUUUUAUUCUUUGCCACAUGCUUUUGGUUCGUGGCAAUUUCCAGAGGGAAUAACCGAAAACAGUUCCAGUUUUCAAACACAACUCUCCACCUCUGCCUAUGCCUGUCUGACACUAAGAUGGCCUGAUUUGUGCAAAGUCAGUAUUUAAACUGUAAUAACACCAUCGUCCUCUGACUUAUUUCUUCCAAGAUCGAUGGUCUGCUUUACAGAAAGGAACAGAAGCAUAUUCUUGGUCUUCAUUUUUUCUUCCAGGAACAGCCAUUAUCUGCAAGGAAGAUUUGACUUGACCGCUAACCAGUUCUUAAGAAUGCACAGUAUCAUCGUUUCAGCCUUUAUAAAGUAAAAUUUGCCCUGAUUGCAGCACUGGUUUUGUUCAACGAGACAAUGUGGGCUAAGCAACGGCACUGAAAG
rnacentral:lncRNA from 1 species